rnacentral:rRNA from 1 species
CCUACGGGGGGCAGCAGUGGGGAAUAUUGGACAAUGGGCGAAAGCCUGAUCCAGCCAUGCCGCGUGUGUGAAGAAAGCCUUCGGGUUGUAAAGCACUUUCAGUGGGGAAGAAAGCCUUGGGGCUAAUACCCUCGAGGAAGGACAUCACCCACAGAAGAAGCACCGGCUAACUCCGUGCCAGCAGCCGCGGUAAUACGGAGGGUGCGAGCGUUAAUCGGAAUUACUGGGCGUAAAGCGCGCGUAGGCGGUCUGAUAAGCCGGUUGUGAAAGCCCCGGGCUCAACCUGGGAACGGCAUCCGGAACUGUCAGGCUAGAGUGCAGGAGAGGAAGGUAGAAUUCCCGGUGUAGCGGUGAAAUGCGUAGAGAUCGGGAGGAAUACCAGUGGCGAAGGCGGCCUUCUGGACUGACACUGACGCUGAGGUGCGAAAGCGUGGGUAGCAAACAGGAUUAGAUACCCUGGUAGUC